GGGGAUGUCAUGGUUUCGACAGGUUUAUGUUGGAUUCGGACUUCAGUGGAGUGGUGACCUUAUCACUAAAUUAAAAUAACUGGAAACAGAUUAUCUUUCGCUGCUUAAUUAGUCAAUAGAGACUCGCAGCUGUCGCCCUUAUGGUGUUCAUGACAUUUGGCACGGCAUAAGAUUCAUGAAAUACGGUGAAGUGCAGCCUGGGCAUGGAUCCCGACAAUCUUACAGGCAAAUUCAAACUGACGUGUCAGUCCAUCCACAAGGUUUGUCUUAUCAAUGAUGGAAUAAACUGUAAAGGUCUGAAUGUGGGACUACUCUUGGACAGGGGUUCGACUCCCCUCAUCUCCACCA
rnacentral:tmRNA from 1 species